rnacentral:rRNA from 1 species
UACGGAGGGGGCUAGCGUUGUCCGAAGUUACUGGGCGUAAAGCGCGCGUAGGCGGGUUGGUAAGUCCGCUGUGAAAGCCCGGAGCUCAACUCCGGAGGGUCGGUGGAUACUGCCAGUCUUGAAGGUGCUAGGGGGAGAUGGAAUUACCGGUGUAGCGGUGAAAUGCGUUGAUAUCGAUAGGAACUCCGGUGGCGAAGGCGGCAUACUGGACCACUUCUGACGCUGAGGCGCGAAAGCCAGGGGAGCAAACGGG